GUCUUCGGCACUUAUAUUAUGACCUUAUUGUGUUGCAAGUGCCGAAAAACUCUUACUAAAACUAUAGAGCGGUGAAGUUUUGUAGCGCAAGCUAAUAUUUUAUUUAUAAAAGAUCUAUUGCAGGGUGUAGUGGUCCGGCCACAUUAAUUUUCCCAGAGAAAUCCAAUUUGGUUCGUUUAUUUCUAACCAGGUAUCUGUCUUUUACUCUUACAUCCCUAAUCUCAUGAAAAAAACACGGACGUGGAUUGGGUCGGGGUUUUUUGUUGUUUUGGGGUGGGGGGUUGGGGGUGGAAUUCAGAGGUAUUGUCCUUGGAUAAUGGAAUGAAAUCAAGUAAGAAUUACUUAAAUGAUUGAAAAGGUUUUUAAAAAAUGAUGAUUGAAGUUGAAUUGCAAUAUGUAGAUCGACCUUGUACUUAAUUCCGUAUGUUGGGCUAAACAUGCAUUUGUAGUUUAGACAGAACCCAGGGAGGUCAUGUAAAUGGCUUCAAUUUUCACUGUAAAAAAAAAAUUGCCGCAGUGCUGUUUAAUCUUCGGUUAUCCUUACUUAAAGCUUUAAAAAAAACUAAUUUAAGGAAGUACCUUAGGUAUUGUGGUAUGAAUAAAGUCACAGUGGAUUACAAUUUGGGAGGGGGGGGGGGAGUUGUACACGUACUUUUGUAAAACAAUCACAUAAAAAAUGUGAAAGAUAUAAUCACAGCGGCAUUCUGAAUGUCAAGAAAAUAAUAUUGCACACCACUUCCUUCACAAACACCAGGUGCCUAUGUGCGUACUGUUGUCAAUACAUACUUAUUUGAGGGUGUGAGCAAACCUCACUGGCCUAUAGCUACUUGGCUGUCCUCUUUAGUCAUUACAGUACAAUGUAUGUGCACCUGGCUCGCUGCGACCAGUUCAUGUGGUUCGGAUUUCAUUUAAAAAAAAUUGUUUUGACUGCGAAGUUUCAGUAUAAGCUAGGUCCAACAAACGCAGGUAUUUUAAUCCUGGCUUGAAUGGAUGAAAAUAUGUGGCAUGUAACUCUUUGUGUGUGAAGAAGUCCUGUGAUUGGUCACACUCACUCUAAAUGACUCUCAAAAUGACUGGAAUGUCUCUCUCUCUCUCUCUCUCAGGUUUUGAUACUCGGUGCAUGUCAGUGAAAUGAUCCGCGUGUAGGUAGAUUGUCGGAUGAUUGGGCUAGAGAUGUUGAGACUCGUUGCUAGAGAAAUACAGCCUACCAGCCAGGGGAACUUGAGUUUAACUGUCACUGCGGUUUUAUGCACACAAAAAAUUCAGAAAUUAUGCAAACUGAGCCCAAAAUGUGAAAUUAUGCGAUUCUGUUAAUUUUAAUUUUAAUAAAGAAUGAAAAA